rnacentral:rRNA from 1 species
AAGGAAUAUUGGACAAUGCCCGCAAGGGUGAUCCAGCCAUGCCGCGUGCAGGAAGACGGCCCUAUGGGUUGUAAACUGCUUUUACACCGGAGAAAACCUUCCCUCGUGAGGGGAGCUGAUAGUAUGGUGAGAAUAAGCAUCGGCUAACUUCGUGCCAGCAGCCGCGGUAAGACGAAGGAUGCAAGCGUUAUCCGGAUUCAUUGGGUUUAAAGGGAGCAUAGGUGGGUUUGUAAGUCAGUGGUGAAAGCCGGUCGCUUAACGAUCGAAUUGCCAUUGAUACUGCAGACCUUGAGUACAGAUGCUGUGGGCGGAAUAUGACAUGUAGUGGUGAAAUACAUAGAGAUGUCAUAGAACACCGAUUGCGAAGGCAGCUCACAAAACUGUAACUGACACUGAGGCUCGAAAGUGCGGGGAUCAAAC